GCCAGCAGCUAUAUCACCCUGCAGCUCUCAACUGGCUACCCACUGAUGAGCCUGGUCAGUACCUGGAUGGGAGACCUCCUGGGAAGCUAUGGUUGCUGCUGGAA
rnacentral:rRNA from 1 species